rnacentral:snoRNA from 2 species
ACGACCUUACUUGAACAGGAUCUGUUCUAUAGGAUCGUACCGCUGCAUCCUUGACUACUAAGGAGGCAAGCACUUAUGCCUGGUUGAUGAGCUAUGACCUGUGGGCCAGAGCGUGAUUAACGGCCAGGAUUGAGUCUGAUCCAGUGCUGUAGAGGAUCGUUUCCAGUCAGGUGCAAGCUUGGCUGGGAUGGCUCAUGGGUUGUCUGACAGGCC